rnacentral:rRNA from 1 species
UACGAAGGGGGCUAGCGUUGUUCGGAAUUACUGGGCGUAAAGCGCACGUAGGCGGAUAUUUAAGUCAGGGGUGAAAUCCCAGAGCUCAACUCUGGAACUGCCUUUGAUACUGGGUAUCUUGAGUAUGGAAGAGGUGAGUGGAAUUCCGAGUGUAGAGGUGAAAUUCGUAGAUAUUCGGAGGAACACCAGUGGCGAAGGCGGCUCACUGGUCCAUAACUGACGCUGAGGCACGAAAGCGUGGGGAGCAAACAGG